AACGAACGCUGGCGGCAGGCCUAACACAUGCAAGUCGAGCGCGCCCUUCGGGGUGAGCGGCGGACGGGUGAGUAACGCGUGGGAACGUGCCCUUCUCUGCGGAAUAGCCUCGGGAAACUGAGAGUAAUACCGCAUACGCCCUUUGGGGGAAAGAUUUAUCGGAGAAGGAUCGGCCCGCGUUGGAUUAGGUAGUUGGUGGGGUAAUGGCCCACCAAGCCGACGAUCCAUAGCUGGGUUGAGAGGAUGAUCAGCCACACUGGGACUGAGACACGGCCCAGACUCCUACGGGAGGCAGCAGUGGGGAAUCUUAGACAAUGGGGGCAACCCUGAUCUAGCGAUGCCGCGUGAGUGAUGAAGGCCUUAGGGUUGUAAAGCUCUUUCAGCUGGGAAGAUAAUGACGGUACCAGCAGAAGAAGCCCCGGCUAACUCCGUG
rnacentral:rRNA from 1 species